rnacentral:rRNA from 1 species
UACGGAGGGAGCAAGCGUUACUCGGAAUUACUGGGCGUAAAGGGCGCGUAGGCGAUUUUGUAAGUCUUGUGUGAAAGCCCAAAGCCUAACUUUGGAAGUGCACAAGAUACUGCGAGAAUUGAGUUCCGGAGAGGAAGAUGGAAUUCCCGGUGUAGCGGUGAAAUGCGUAGAGAUCAGGAGGAACACCCAUGGCGAAGGCAGCUCUCUGGUCGACAUCUGACGCUGAGACGCGAAAGCGUGGGGAGCGAACGGG